UCAAUUAACCAUUACCUCUCAGAUUAAACAGUUAACUCAUUAACCUACAAAUGUUGGCCAUAAAUUUACAAGUGUAAUCAUGAAUUAAACUUAAAUGAAUGAAAAAAUCAUUUGCACAAAAUAUUCAGAGAACAAAAAAAAUUUAAUUCAAACCAAGAUUCAUAUCCAUUUUGAAUAAACAAAAUUAAGUCAUAAAAUUUCAAAUUGAAAACAUAAAGAUGAGAUGCAAUCUUGUCUCUCGACACAGGAAAAAAUUGGUUGCAGGGGUUGUCUGCGACUUCUCCUUGUGGCUUCCCAUGGUGGCUCUCCUCCACGUCCUUUAAGCUAGAAUCAUCUAGACGUCUUCAAGUCAUCCUCCUACCUGCUCUUAUUUCGUUAAGUGUUUGCCUUAUUUUGUGGAAAUCAAAUGUUUAGCAAGCCAUGGACAAGCCAAUAACACUUAAUGCUUUUAGUUUUUGAGAGUUGGUGUAGAAAAAUUGGUGUAAUG
rnacentral:lncRNA from 1 species